rnacentral:rRNA from 1 species
UGGGCUCAGAAUGAACGCUGGCGGCAUGCCUAACACAUGCAAGUCGAACGAGAUCUUCGGAUCUAGUGGCGCACGGGUGAGUAACGCGUGGGAACCUACCUUUUAGUACGGGACAACGUUUGGAAACGAACGCUAAUACCGUAUACGCCCUCCGGGGGAAAGGUCAGCCGCUGAAAGAGGGGCCCGCGUCUGAUUAGCUUGUUGGUAAGGUAACGGCUUACCAAGGCAACGAUCAGUAGCUGGUCUGAGAGGAUGAUCAGCCACACUGGGACUGAGACACGGCCCAGACUCCUACGGGAGGCAGCAGUGGGGAAUAUUGGACAAUGGAGGCAACUCUGAUCCAGCAAUGCCGCGUGUGUGAUGAAGGCCCUAGGGUUGUAAAGCACUUUCAACGGUGAAGAUGAUGACGGUAGCCGUAGAAGAAGCCCCGGCUAACUUCGUGCCAGCAGCCGCGGUAAUACGAAGGGGGCGAGCGUUAUUCGGAAUUAUUGGGCGUAAAGGGCUCGCAGGCUGCUUGAACAGUUAGACGUGAAAUCCCCGGGCUCAACCUGGGAACUGCGUUUAAUACUAGCAAGCUAGAGAAAUAGAGAGGAAAGUGGAACUCCCAGUGUAGAGGUGAAAUUCGUAGAUAUUGGGAAGAACACCAGUGGCGAAAGCGACUUUCUGGCUAUUUUCUGACGCUGAGGAGCGAAAGCGUGGGGAGCAAACAAGA